AUUAUAAUACGCGCGCAGUGUACACGUAUAUAACUCGCGCACACAAUGGGCCCCAUUCGACGCCCCUGCGAAAUGGAAAAAAAAAACUCAACAAUAUACCACGACAAUACCUGACGUCCCACGAACGCGCGCGUGGUAGAGUGGCGUAUACAUGCGCGCGUGUGUGUGCGUGCGUGCGUGCGUGCGUGCACUGCUGCUCGACGAGCUCGCGUACGCGUACACGGUAGUCGGUCGUAAUGUUAUAGAAAAAAAAAAUAAUAAUAAUAAUAAUAAUAAUAAAAUACUGCAGCGCGCGUGAUAUUUACGGUCCGGAGGAGAGGAGAAACGUGCGCGCGGAAAUCCGAAUCCGCGGCGGCGAAACGGCAAAACCCA